UCCUGGUGGCGACCGGCGCACGGGUGAGUAACGCGUAUCCAACCUCGCCCCACAGGUAGGGGAUAGCCCGGCGAAAGUCGGAUUAAUACCCUAUGUUUUCCCUUGAGAGCAUUUGACGGGGAACAAAGGUUUACCGCUAUGGGAUGGGGAUGCGUCCGAUUAGGCAGACGGCGGGGUAACGGCCCACCGUGCCUUCGAUCGGUAGGGGUUCUGAGAGGAACGGUCCCCCACAUUGGAACUGAGACACGGUCCAAACUCCUACGGGAGGCAGCAGUGAGGAAUAUUGGUCAAUGGGCGGGAGCCUGAACCAGACCCAAGUAGCGUGCAGGACGGCGGCCCUAGUGGGUUGUAAACUGUCUUUUGCCGGGGAAUAAAGUGCGGGACGUGUCCCGUUUUGUAUGUACCCGGAGAAUAAGGACCGGCUAAUUCCGUGCCAGCCGCCGC
rnacentral:rRNA from 1 species